AAAACUUGCUAAUGGUUGGUGAGAUCAGUUGGGGACUCGUCUCGUGUGAUUGGAAAGCAUGGGCCCAUUAGUGGAGAGAGUUCAAAACCAGUCAAAGCAAGCGUUGGUGCAGUGGGUGAACGGCGUAAGAGAAGCUUGCUGUCUCCAUCGUGUGAUCAUCUACUCUCUCAGGUCAAAACAGCUUGCCAUCCGUACCGGUCAGUGUUUUUUGUUGAAUGGAUUCAUCUUCUUAGGAAGUAUCUUUGUUCUGAAAUCAGUUAUCAUCCCUGCAUUGGAAUGGAUAUUACCUGGUCAUAGCCGACUAAUCAAUUCACAACAGCCAUGUUCAUUUAGCAGUAUUUUGGAGUUUUAUCGAUUCUUACGCGUUGGACUUGUACAACUUAUAUAUGUUUUGUGGUUUUACCCCUUGUACAUAUUCAGCCUUAUUCUCAGCAAUAUCUGGUACAAUGAUAUUGCUAAAUAUGGGUUUUUUGCUUUGGAGAAUUAUGGGGAUCAUGAUACAAAGUUAUCUGAUCAAAAGGAGCCCCAAACUUCGCAAAACACCGUUCAAAGGGAAAAAUCAACUGAUCUUGAAGGGGUUAUGAUCAGUAUAGCGGAGCAGCUUUAUUCGGUCCUCUUGCUGACUUUCUUCUUGAUGGAGGUUUAUGUUACUGGAUUUAUCCCCUACAUAGGAAAAGCUCUAAAUUUUAUGCUUCUGUCAUGGUUGUAUGCAUACUAUUGUUUUGAGUAUAAGUGGAAUCUGUCUGGACUAAGCUUAGACAAGAGGCUGGACUUCUUUGAAUCAAACUGGGCAUUUUUUGCUGGUUUUGGAAAUCCAUGUGUACUGGCAAUGUUUCUUUUCUCUCCACUAGUGAGCUGUGGGUUUCUGGCUAUACUGUUUCCACUGUUUGUUUUGACCGCAACAGGCUCGGAAGCUGACAAAAUUGUUGCCUUACCUAGAAGAAAAUGGAGAGGUGCUGAAUUAGGAAGGGUACCAAUAUUUUUCAUUGCCGAUUACAUGUCUUGAUUUGAGGCAGAAGAAACACAGUCCAAUUCUUCCCUCCGUGUGGAAUAUGGGAUGAUCUACCUAUUACAGUUGAGAUGAAAAGGUGGUGUAGACUUCUUCUUGAUGCAAUCCACCAACAACUUGGUAUCACUCUCUGCCUGCACAUUUUGGUAGCCAUUGUUUUUGCACCACGACAUUCCAAAGUGUAAAGCUACUGCUUCCGCCCAGUUGUUAGUGCCUUGUCCUAAUUCCAAUGAGAAAGCUAUGAUGAGUUUGCCUUCGUGGUCUCUCACAAUACCUCCUCCUCCACAGCUACCGUUCCUGCAACUACCAUCAGUGUUAAGUUUAACAAAAAAGAGAGAAGAAUGCGAGUCUUAAAAUUAUUUUCUUCAAAAUCGCACCAGCAAAUUAAUGUGAACAAGGCACUCUAAAAUAGAAUGAACAUGUCUGAUCUACUCCCAACGCUCCAUAUCCAUGCAUAACCUCUGUAUCUUAUUUAUGAAAUUUAUAUUUGUAUGGGUCAACGAUGUUCCUAAUUUAUCCACGAUCACAAUAUGAACAUGUGCUCGUUAUCAUUUUUUUGGGAAGAGAGGAAGAAGUAAAUCCAGAUUUGCUGCUAUCACAAAUGGAAGAUAGCAACUUAUGGUGAUUCCUUCUGUAUCUUAUGUACAGAGUAAUUUGUAACUGGUUUGGUCAUUCUUUCAUAUGAACAUAUCUCUAUGUAUUAAGUUAUUAAUUUUGUCAUAGCUGAUUAAUUUUUUGUCACACGAA